UGUAAACUUUAGGGGUGCCAAUUAAAUUUGGCUGAGAUAACACCCUUUGAACCUGAUCCAGAUUAGCAUCUGCGAAGGAAAAAGUACGAAAACUUUG
rfam:Zunongwangia atlantica 22II14-10F7 contig12, whole genome shotgun sequence.